UACGAAGGGGGCUAGCGUUGCUCGGAAUCACUGGGCUUAAAGCGUGCGUAGGCGGCUCAGAAAGUUGGGUGUGAAAUCCCUCGGCUCAACCGAGGAAUUGCGCCCAAAACUACUGGGCUUGAGGGAGUUAGAGGUGAGCGGAACUCACGGUGGAGCGGUGAAAUGCGUUGAUAUCGUGAGGAACACCGGAGGCGAAGGCGGCUCUCUGGGACGGUACUGACGCUGAGACGCGAAAGCGUGGGGAGCGAACAGG
rnacentral:rRNA from 1 species